rnacentral:tRNA from 1 species
GAAAAAGUGGUCGAGUGGUUAAGGAGAUGGACUGCUAAUCCAUUGGGGUCCCCACGCUUCAGUUCGAAUCUCGUCUUGAUCG